rnacentral:rRNA from 1 species
CACACUGGCACUGCGACACGGGCCAGACUCCUACGGGAGGCAGCAGUGAGGAAUAUUGCGCAAUGGGCGAAAGCCUGACGCAGCGACGCCGCGUGGGGGAUGAAGGUCUUCGGAUUGUAAACCCCUUUCGGGAGGGAAGAUGGGACGGGCAACCGUCCGGACGGUACCUCCAGAAGCAGCCACGGCUAACUUCGUGCCAGCCGCCGCAGUAAAAC